GAUGAUGUGGGGACGGAUCUUAAUAGGUCAUCCGGGUGUUGGAUAUCCCGGUUUAGGCAGAUGUAGGCGACAGGUAGGCAAAUCCGCCUGUCAUAUACCGAGGCUGCCGAUCGAGCGAGCUUGCUCGCGAAGUGAUUGAACGAGGUUCCAGGAAAAGCCACUAAGCUUCAGCUACACACGACCGUACCGCAAACCGACACUGGUGCGCGAGAUGAGUAUUCUAAGGCGCUUGAGAGAACUCGGGAGAAGGAACUCGGCAAAUUGACACCGUAACUUCGGAAGAAGGUGUGCCCUAGUAGUGUGAAGUGAACAACGGAGCAUGAAUGGGUUGCAAAAAAUCGGUGGCUGCGACUGUUUAUUAAAAACACAGCACUCUGCAAACACGAAAGUGGACGUAUAGGGUGUGACGCCUGCCCGGUGCUGGAAGAUUAAAUGAUGGGGUGCAAGCUCUUGAUUGAAGUCCCAGUAAACGGCGGCCGUAACGAUAACGGUCCUAAGGUAGCGAAAUUCCUUGUCGGGUAAGUUCCGACCUGCCGAAUGGCGUAACGAUGGCCACACUGUCUCCUCCCGAGACUCAGCGAAGUUGAAAUGUUUGUGAUGAUGCAAUCUCCCCGCGGAAAGACGGAAAGACCCCAUGAACCUUUACUGUAGCUUUGUAUUGGACUUUGAACAGAUCUGUGUAGGAUAGGUGGGAGGCUUUGAAGCAGGGUCGCUAGAUCUUGUGGAGCCAACGUUGAAAUACCACCCUGGUGUGUUUGAGGUUCUAACCUAGGUCCAUUAUCUGGAUCGGGGACAGUGCAUGGUAGGCAGUUUGACUGGGGCGGUCUCCUCCCAAAGCGUAACGGAGGAGUUCGAAGGUACGCUAGUUACGGUCGGACAUCGUGACGAUAGUGCAAUGGCAUAAGCGUGCUUAACUGCGAGACUGACAAGUCGAGCAGAUGCGAAAGCAGGACAUAGUGAUCCGGUGGUUCUGUAUGGAAGGGCCAUCGCUCAACGGAUAAAAGGUACUCUGGGGAUAACAGGCUGAUACCGCCCAAGAGUUCAUAUCGACGGCGGUGUUUGGCACCUCGAUGUCGGCUCAUCUCAUCCUGGGGCUGUAGCCGGUCCCAAGGGUAUGGCUGUUCGCCAUUUAAAGAGGUACGUGAGCUGGGUUUAAAACGUCGUGAGACAGUUUGGUCCCUAUCUUCCGUGGGCGCUGCAGAUUUGAGGAAGCCUGCUCCUAGUACGAGAGGACCGGAGUGGACGCACCUCUGGUGUAUCGGUUGUCACGCCAGUGGCAUUGCCGAGUAGCUAUGUGCGGAAGAGAUAACCGCUGAAAGCAUCUAAGCGGGAAACUCGUUCCAAGAUGAGAUCUGCCGGGGCCUUGAGCCCCCUAAAGAGUCGUUCAAGACCAGGACGUUGAUAGGUCAGGUGUGGAAGCGCAGUAAUGCGUUAAGCUAACUGAUACUAAUUGCUCGUGCGGCUUGACCG
rnacentral:rRNA from 1 species